GACGAACGCUGGCGGCGUGCUUAACACAUGCAAGUCGAACGGAAAGGCCCCUUUGGGGGUACUCGAGUGGCGAACGGGUGAGUAACACGUGAGUAACCUGCCCUUGACUUCGGGAUAACUUCAGGAAACUGGGGCUAAUACCGGAUAGGAAUCCUUGCUGCGUGGUGGGGGUUGGAAAGCUUCGGCGGUUUUGGAUGGACUCGCGGCUUAUCAGCUUGUUGGUGGGGUAGUGGCUUACCAAGGCUUUGACGGGUAGCCGGCCUGAGAGGGCGACCGGCCACAUUGGGACUGAGAUACGGCCCAGACUCCUACGGGAGGCAGCAGUGGGGAAUAUUGCACAAUGGGCGGAAGCCUGAUGCAGCAACGCCGCGUGCGGGAUGACGGCCUUCGGGUUGUAAACCGCUUUCAGCAGGGGCGAAGCUUGUGGUGACGGUACCUGCAGAAGAAGCACCGGCUAACUACGUG
rnacentral:rRNA from 1 species